UAGCAAAGCCACUGGUCUGUAAAACUCC
rnacentral:sRNA from 1 species